rnacentral:rRNA from 1 species
UACGGGGGGGGCAAGCGUUGUUCGGAAUUACUGGGCGUAAAGCGCGCGUAGGCGGUUUGUUAAGUGGGUUGUGAAAGCCCCGGGCUUAACCUGGGAAUUGCAUUUCAAACUGGCGAACUAGAGUGCGGUAGAGGGAGGUAGAAUUUCCUGUGUAGCGGUGAAAUGCGUAGAUAUAGGAAGGAAUACCAGUGGCGAAGGCGGCCUCCUGGAUCGACACUGACGCUAAGGCGCGAAAGCGUGGGGAGCAAACAGG